rnacentral:rRNA from 1 species
GUGCCAGCCGCCGCGGUAAUACCGGCAGCUCAAGUGAUGGCCACUCUUAUUGGGCCUAAAGCGUCCGUAGCUGGCCGCGCAAGUCCGUCGGGAAAUCCAUCAGCCCAACUGAUGGGCGUCCGGCGGAAACUGCACGGCUUGGGACCGGAAGGCUCGAGAGGUACGUCCGGGGUAGGAGUGAAAUCCCGUAAUCCUGGACGGACCGCCGAUGGCGAAAGCACGUCGCGAAGACGGAUCCGACAGUGAGGGACGAAAGCUAGGGUCUCGAACCGGAUUAGAAACCCCUGUAGUCC